rnacentral:miRNA from 1 species
GUCUGUCUCUCUCUCUUUCUGUCU